rnacentral:lncRNA from 1 species
UGAUCUUAUCAAAUUCGGUUCAGAUUCAAUCAUUGGUGUUGGUUCUUCUACCUGUUGAACUUCAUCAAGCUCGAUGUUAGAGGCACUUAUUCCUUUACUAAGGAAUUUUUUUUUCAAAAAAUAUUUUUUAUUACUGACAAAUACCUUUUAUUUAGCAGGCAGAUAAAAGUAAAAUCCUCUUAUUUUCUUAGGGUACCCUAUAGAGUUACAUUUAUCAGACCUAAGACUGAGUUUGUCAGUUUGUAAACAUUUAACAUAAGUUGGAUACCCCCAGACCCUAA